rnacentral:rRNA from 1 species
CUGGCGGCGUGCCUAAUACAUGCAAGUCGAACGGCUUUUCUAUGGAAGCUUGCUUCCACUGAGAAGAUAGUGGCGAACGGGUGAGUAACACGUGGGUAACCUGCCCAUAAGAGGGGGAUAACGAUCCGGAAACGGGUGCUAAUACCGCAUAGUUUUCUUGAUCGCAUGAUCGGGAAAGGAAAGACGGCCUUUGUGCUGUCGCUUAUGGAUGGACCCGCGGCGUAUUAGUUAGUUGGUGAGGUAACGGCUCACCAAGACGAUGAUACGUAGCCGACCUGAGAGGGUGAUCGGCCACAUUGGGACUGAGACACGGCCCAAACUCCUACGGGAGGCAGCAGUAGGGAAUCUUCCGCAAUGGACGAAAGUCUGACGGAGCAACGCCGCGUGAGUGAAGAAAAGGUUUUCGGAUCGUAAAACUCUGUUGUCAGAGAAGAACAAGUUGGAGAGUAACUGCUCCAGCCUUGACGGUAUCUGACCAAAAAGCCACGGCUAACUACGUGCCAGCAGCAGC